UUGCUUCAGUGAGGGUGUUGCUUAGGCCACCUUUGGAUUAAAAAUGAAAACAACUACUCUCUGAGCAAC
rfam:Fukomys damarensis contig140989, whole genome shotgun sequence.